GGAGGGAGGGAGGAGGCGCCACCAUGGUGUGCGUGAGGGAGAGGGGGGGAAAUGGAAUGGUACGGGGGGGGGGAAUGGUGCAGCCCAAACGAACAGUAUCCCCACACCGAUCCAUGGACAGUUUGCGGGCUGGAUCCUGAAGGCAAUUGGGCCUGAUCCAGCCCGCAGUUUGCCAACCCCUGAUUUAAAUAGACAGCAGUAUAUUCAAGUAACCACAUAAGCUUGUGUAACUACAUCAUCUUGUAAUAAAUAAACAUUGAUUUCUUUAUCAUAUAAAGUAACUUCAUCUGGCUGGCUUAUAUCCCACAGUUACCAGUGAUAUUAAAUGCUGGCUGCAGUACAUUUUUAGAGAGAAAAAACAAAACACUGGAGGGUGGGAAGUUGAGUUUUGUUAAUAAAAUAAGUAAGGGGGGGAACCCUCUCCUGCCACAAGGACUCAGCAUGUUCAGUGCUCAAGGUCACAAAAUGCUGACUCAUUGUGUAUGGCCUGUCUGCGUGUGUGUAAAAAAACCAGGAGGAAGAGGGAAUGGAUAUCCUGUACAAGGGCGCUCUGCACUGCAAUAUUUUGUAGGGGCCACGUGUGACAUCUGUAAGGCAGUGAGGCUAGAUACAAACUCAAUAGGAGGCUCAUUUGCAUAAAUUUCAUUCCACAGAGGUCGAAAUAGAGUCAAACUGUCUGCAAGCUGAGGACACUUCCGUCUGGCUAGGUCUACUGAGAGGAAAGGCAAUCUUGGAGUCUGCACUAUUAAAAGCAUUUUCUUUUCACACAGGGCCCACAGUAUUUGUCUGCAUAUGUGAUUGUUCUUAACAGUGUUAGAAAGCCGAAGAGAAGAAAUGUAGGAAGAUUACAAAUUGGAUAGUAAAGCAAGGUCCAGCUUCUUACCCAUUUGGGAUGUAUUUGCCUUACAUCUUUUCUUAGGGCUGCGCUCCCAGGGCUGCACAUUGCCCAAACUGUGGAUUAUUAGCAAGCAAAUAAGGGCAUCAGAAGUGAUUCUGAUUGUCAGUGGAUGUGGGUUUUAAUUUGUAAAUCAUUUCCUAAUUUAUAUUAGGCUACAGUAGUAUCUUUUGACUAUUUUGCUUUCAACAUAAAAUAGUAAAUUGUUUCCUUUCUAGCUGUUCCCUGGUCCAAAAAAGGUUGUACAAUAAUUAAUUGAAAUCAGGUCAAAUUUGUGGGGCAGAUGGAUUAUAGUAGAACGAUAGGUGGGUUCUUUUGUAUGCGUCUAGAAGACAUCUAGAAUAAAUGUGUUGGGGAAAUUACUGUGGAAUUCUCCUAGAAAUUGGCUGUACCGCAAUGAAUUAUCCCAAUUCAGCUGUUAGCAGCUAAUCAGACAUAACCAGUGGUGGCCCGUGAUGCAUAUAUCAUCCCCAUUCACCUCAAAAGACUCAUCCUACCACUUCAAGAAGGGCCCUAAUGGCAUUGCAAUGUAUUUUCAGAUCCACACUGGCAGCACAAGGGGAAGACUUCUAAUGCAUGCAGACUUCUCUUCCUGCACCUGGGCAAAUGUGUUUAUUUCUGGAUGCUCUGUUCCUUUAAAGAUAAUACUUAAACAGAAGCAAUCAAGAGGCAGGCAGAAAAGUUCUUUUCUUCAGCUGACCAUAAGAACAAUCUUACUGGCUCAGAUCAAAGACCCACCAGGACCUGAGUGUGACAGCAUUCUCCCCAUCUGUGGUUCUCAGCAAUUGGUAUACAAUAGAGGGUCUGUUUUUCCUUCAAGAUUCUGCUACAGCUGAUCGUCUGAGUGGCCUUCCCAUAAAUAGCCUGUCUUUGCGUUUCCUCUCCUGUAGUCUGGCAUGUGGUUCAUGGGGUUGCUGAUGCUGCGGAACAGGUUGUGGCAACGUGCGGUGAAGAUGUGUCGCUCCCUUGUAAAUAUUUUCAGGAUAUACAAGUCUCAAAAGGGGCAGUCUCCUGGUAUAAGGUAAGUAAGUACCUGUUACUUUCAUUCCCCUUUGAUUUCCCAUCUGUAUCUGCAUUUUAUUUAAUCUGUAAGUGUGGUUAAAAAACGUUGGUGGAGACAUUUGUAUGGAUGCUGUGAUAGGUGAAUCAGAUCUAUCAUGAACAUUAUUCAGCUGUUUCUUUGAAUUCGUGUGAGCAAAAAAGGAAGAGUGUGAGGAGUGGGCAUGCAAUCACUGCCCCAACAUCUCUGUUUAAGCUGGCUUGAUUUCAAACUACUGCAUUGAGAGGGAAGGUCUGAAGGGAGAUUUUCAGUAUGUUUGGGUGAGCAUGCUUAGAAUGCUUUUUCAGGGUUACCAGUUAU